rnacentral:rRNA from 1 species
AUACGGAGGGUGCAAGCGUUACUCGGAAUCACUGGGCGUAAAGCGCGCGCAGGCGGCUAUUUAAGUUGGAUGUGAAAGCCUACGGCUCAACCGUAGAACUGCAUCCAAAACUAUUUAGCUAGAGUGUGGGAGAGGAAGAUGGAAUUAGUUGUGUAGGGGUAAAAUCCGUAGAGAUAACUAGGAAUACCAAAAGCGAAGGCAAUCUUCUGGAACACUUCUGACGCUGAGGCGCGAAAGCGUGGGGAGCAAACAGGAUUAGAAACCCGAGUAGUCC